GAAUAAUGAGUUAACAACUACAAGAAUAAUAACUACUAAAUUAUAAGUUUAACUGCAGUAAGUCAUCCCCAAUUACUAGAAACAUGAAUCAUUAUGAAAGCUUUACUACAAAAGCAGUGGUAUGAAAUUGUUUAGUAUCUUUUUUUCUCAAUUUCAAACCUAAUCUCAGUCAAAUCUAAGCCAUGAUUUUCGUAAAAAUUUCCUGUUGAAAGUAAUCAGAUUUAUUCAUGAUAGAUUUAGACGAUUAGCUUUCCUAUUAUGCAGCAAAACUUUUACUAAAAAUAAUAUUUAUUAACUUGUAGAAAAUUUAUUGAAGCUUUACUAAUAAUAAAUAUUUAGCUAAAAUACUUAGGGAUAUAGACCAAAAAAGAGAAAAUAUUAACA